GAGAUAGCUCAGUUGGAAGAGCAUGAGACUAUUAAUCUUAGAGUUGUGGGUUCAAGCCCUGUGUUGGGCA